rnacentral:sRNA from 1 species
AUCCUCCACCGCAACCAUAUAGGAAUGUUUCAUUUCUUCUGAAACAUACAUUCAAGAACAUAUCCAAAUUUGUUGAGAAUGAAAGAGAUUUCAGUGAUCCAGAAGAUCAUUACAAUAUGCCAUGGUUUUUUAUUAAAAGUCACUCCUAAAAAGUUUAUAGCUUAAGAAUUUUCAGGAGAAUUGAAAUUCAAAAAUCAAAGAAAUGUCUUCUAAUCUCUUUGAACUGCGAUAAAGAAAUCUACGAAGAGAGAAAAUGGUCAAUUGAAUGCUUGAUCGAUUUUAGAUUGAUUUCUGCAAAUGGUAAAUUUCAUUCAGAACAGCGUAAGGCUGUUUUUGAAAAUAAAUCUUCGGGCGGGUGCACCGGCGAAUUUAUUAGUUGGAAUGACUUGGAGAAAGAUUAUGUGACCAAUGACUGUAUCGAUGUUGAAGUUCGUGUAACAAUAGAGAAAAUUACAGG